UACGGGGGGGGCAAGCGUUGUUCGGAAUUACUGGGCGUAAAGGGCUCGUAGGCGGCCAACUAAGUCAGACGUGAAAUCCCUCGGCUUAACUGGGGAACUGCGUCUGAUACUGAUUGGCUUGAGUGCAGGAGAGGAAUGCGGAAUUCCAGGUGUAGCGGUGAAAUGCGUAGAUAUCUGGAGGAACACCGGUGGCGAAGGCGGCAUUCUGGACUGCAACUGACACUGAAGAACGAAAGCCAGGGGAGCAAACGGG
rnacentral:rRNA from 1 species